AAGUCGUAACAAGGUUUCCGUAGGUGAACCUGCGGAAGGAUCAUUACCGAGUGCGGACCCUCUGGGUCCAACCUCCCACCCGUGUUUAUUGUACCUUGUUGCUUCGGUGGGCGUACGCCCGCCGAAGACACCCUUGAACCCUGCCUGAAGAUUGUAGUCUGAGUGGAAUGAUAAAUUAGUUAAAACUUUCAACAACGGAUCUCUUGGUUCCGGCAUCGAUGAAGAACGCAGCGAAAUGCGAUACGUAAUGUGAAUUGCAGAAUUCAGUGAAUCAUCGAGUCUUUGAACGCACAUUGCACCCCCUGGUAUUCCGGGGGGUAUGCCUGUCCGAGCGUCAUUGCUACCCUCAAGCCCGGCUUGUGUGUUAGGUCUUAUCCCCCGUCCGGGGGAUAGGCCCGAAAGGCAGCGGCGGCACCGCGUCCGGUCCUCGAGCGUAUGGGGCUUUGUCACCCGCUCUGUAGGCCCGGCCGGCGCCUGCCGNUCAACCAAUUUCUUUCUAGGUUGACCUCGGAUCAGGUAGGGAUACCCGCUGAACUUA
rnacentral:rRNA from 1 species